rnacentral:rRNA from 1 species
CACGUAGGGGGCUAGCGUUGUCCGGAUUUAUUGGGCGUAAAGAGCGUGUAGGCGGCCAGGUAGGUCUGCUGUGAAAACUCGAGGCUCAACCUCGAGACGUCGGCGGAAACCAUCUGGCUAGAGUCCGGGAGAGGAGAGUGGAAUUCCUGGUGUAGCGGUGAAAUGCGCAGAUAUCAGGAAGAACACCCGUGGCGAAGGCGGCUCUCUGGGACGGUACUGACGCUGAGACGCGAAAGCGUGGGGAGCGAACAGG